rnacentral:rRNA from 1 species
UACGGGGGGGGGCAAGCGUUGUUCGGAAUUACUGGGCGUAAAGGGCUCGUAGGCGGCCAACUAAGUCGGACGUGAAAUCCCCAGGCUCAACCUGGGAACUGCGUCUGAUACUGGAUGGCUUGAAUCCGGGAGAGGGAUGCAGAAUUCCAGGUGUAGCGGUGAAAUGCGUAGAUAUCUGGAGGAAUACCGGUGGCGAAGGCGGAUCUCUGGGCCUGUACUGACGCUGAGGAGCGAAAGCGUGGGGAGCGAACAGG